rnacentral:snRNA from 1 species
ACCUUUGCGCAGUGGCAGUAUCGUAGCCAGUGAGGUUUAUCCGAGGUGCGAUUAUUGCUAAGAAAUUCCCUUUCUCUCUUGUUCCAGGAUCGGUGUCACACACACAAGCUCCCACAAGUACAAUUGUUACCAUGACAAUGCCUUCACACUCGUCCCAUGCUACUGCCGUGACCACCUCAAACAUACCAGUUGGUAAGUGUC